AGUGAAUGUCUGUCUUUCCCCUCCCAUCCGCCCACCCACCGCGGUGGAUCUAGUGCUGCCUCGUAAAGUGGCCACAGUGCUUUAUGGCAGCGGUACCGUUUCCUUAAACAGGCCUUGGGAGCCAGUGGCUGCACACUGCCCUCUCACCAUCAUAGGAAAGAAAAUGUGUAAGCCAUCAUAAGAAAGAAAAAUCAGCUAUGGAUAUACUGUGUUACAAAUUUGGCCUGUGACGACUGAGGAGAGAGGCUAGGAUGCAAAGUAUAGAAUUACAAAGGAUAUUUCCAUCAUCCAGGGGCAGCAGGAAGCAAGUGGAGCUGGAGGCUCACCUCACCCAGACUGGGUGAUCAGCCGCCCUUGAUGGUGGCCGGCACCAGGCAAUUGAUUGGGUUCCCAAGACUGUCCAGGAAACAGAUGAACGUCAGACCAGGGGGGUCCGUGAAGAAUCCACAGGGAAGGACCACUGAAAAUCUAACUGUGCACCUUCACCACAGACCAAUCCACAAGUGCCAACAUCUCACAGAAGAUCGAUGACAAGAAGAAGAAAGAAGAACCUUGUGACACGCCCUGUUCCCUCCAUCCUGUCUCCAUAACCCCCCUGUACCAAAACCCUAAAAUCUGUGCUUCACUCUAUAAAUAUGUCUUCCCUGCACCAUUCACACCCGAGUGAUUCUCACAGGUUUCAUUUCCUCAUACACAGGUGGUACAUCCCUAGAAGGAUCAAAAUCAAGCCACCAAGUGCUUCUGGCAACAUUCCAAGAUCUCUGAGCCCUCCCCCCCCCCCAAGGGUUCUCUCGGGGUAGCUCUGGACAUCCGGAGUGAUGUGCUGAGUUCCCACAUGUUUUAGCAAUAAUAAAGCAAGAUGACAAGACAGAGACCGUGCUUAAUAUGUCCAAGAAGCUCUGAGCAUAUGCAGAUACUGUGCAUGGCCCAACAAAUACAAAAAUCGCAAUUCUAUAAACACAUCUACAGAAAUUAGAAAAUAAGAUAAAAGAAACUCACGAAAAACUCAGAGAAGAGAUUAAAGACCUUUUCCAAAUCUCAGCAAUGCAAAUCAGAAGUUCUGGUACCAAACACAGAUGUCCCCCAAAUAGGGAGAAAAUGUACAAUGUACGCCCCUCAAACUAAGCUAUGGUUCUUCCUACAUAAUUAUAGAGAAAACAUGAAGAGAUGGGAUAAAAAAUAUACUACUGCUCUAGCACAAGUGCUUGAAUUAAAAGACAAGACUCAGAGAAGUUCCUCCAAAUAAGAGGCAGCUCCAAUAGUCCAUAGCCAAACUGCCAAGUAUGAUGAUGAUGACAACAUGUCCGAUCCCUGUCGGGGUCUCUCUCUCUCUAGCUGAUCAGAGUGACCCCGAGAAAAGUUCGAAAGUCUCUUUUCCCAGCCCGGUGCUUGAAGAAGGAGUCAGGGCUCUUCAUUUCUCGGUCUCAAGGUUGUUUAUCUUAUCUAUAAAAUUCUUUCUCCCUGUCCAGCCGAGAUCCAUUCAGCAGGACAGUCAGAGGCACUCCGCCUGCCCCCAGGGCGGUGUUAUCUUUAUAUACUACAAACUACGUGUACAAUAUUUACAGUUAUUUUUCAAUACCUAUCAUCUAUAUUAGACAGUAGGUUUCUACUCUAGACCAAUCUAAAAGUGCCAACAUCACCAGACAAGAUGGAAGUAGAGAAGAAGAAGAAGAAGAAAGGCUAGACACACCCAAAUCCCUCCAUCUUGUCCCCAGAAACCCCUAUACCAAAAAUCCUAAAACCUACAUUUACACCCUGUGAGUACUUUAUUUUUACAUUAUUUACACUAUCGUGGCUUUUAUCUCUUUCUAUAAAGGUGACAAUUUGCUCCGUGGCUCAUAAUCGAACCCACUGGUGUUCCGGGCUGUGUGCCAGGGUAUCUGAGCUCCCUGGCAAGGGUCCCAGAAACUCUGGACUCCCAGAGGGAUGUCCUGAGUUCUGAUAGAUCCCCUUGCAGGAACCUCCAAGACAUAUGCCCAGGGAAAGAAAGAUAACCAGGCUUAGAGGAGCCCUGCCUCUAACCAAAUAGAAGCUAGGGAAAACUGUGGUUUUUAGACUAUGUAGAGGCGUUAACCUAGCAAAUCAGAAGCACAAAAAUAUGAAGUCUUAGUCAACACUAGUGCGUAGUGCACAUUAAUCCCAUCAAGACGUGGAGGCAGAAUCUGUUUCUAUUGCUGGGAUGACAAGGAGAUCGCAAGAUUUUACUUAGGUAGAAGCUGAUGUGAGCCUGACUAGAAAUGAGUGGAAGAAACACCCCAUUGUGACUGGCCCAGAGGCCCCAUGCGUUUUGGGCAUAGACUUCCUCCAAAGUAGAUAUUUCAUCGAGCCAAAGGGACUCAAGUGGGCAUUUAAGAUAGCAGCUAUAGAGACAGAAGGCAUCAAGAAAUUAAACACCUUGCCUAGACUAUCAGAAAACCCAUCUACAAUAAGACUCCUAAAGGUAGAAGACCAACGAAUACCAAUCGCCACCUCAACAAUGCACUGCCAACAGUACAGAAGAACUCGAAAUGCCAUAAUCCCCAUCCACAAAAUGAUCCAUGUGCUAGAGGGCCAAAGGGUAGUCAACAAAACCCACUCACCUUUCAACAGCCCCAUUUAGCCUAUGCGCAAAUCUGAAGGAGAAUAGAAAUUGACUAUAGACUAUUGUGCCUUGAAUGAAAUGACUCCACCGCUGAGUGCUAUUGCGCCAAACAUGCUAGAACUCCAAUACAAGCUAGAAUCCAAGGUAGCAAAGUAGUAUGCCACUAUUAACAUUGCCAAUGCAUUUUUCUCCAUUCUUUAGCAGCAGAAUGCAAGCCUCAGUUUGCCUUCUUGUAGAGAGGAAUGCAGUACACCUACAACCAAUUGCCCCAAAAGUAGAAGCACAGUCCCACUGUAGUAUAUGAUAGAGAUAAUUCAUGCUUUGUAACUGUAUAAAAAUUAUAAAGAUCCAACCAUGCCUCUGACCCCCAUGGCCAGAAGCAGGGAUUUCCUUUCUAUUCAAAAGAUUUCCUGGACUCGCCCAGAUAAAAUCAUGACUAUUAACAAAUGAAUGAGUCCUUCCCGGUCAAUCAUCGACCAUUUCCCAGGAAUGUCCAGAACAUUCACAGAACAGCACCUGGAAGAGAUUACAUCGAGGAACUGCGACGUCCUGGCUACAACUGAAAAGAAGACUAUCUCGAGGAGCCCAGACAGCCAUCCAAACCUAUGGACUGACUUUUGUAUGGGACUGAAUCUGUAUAGUUCCCGUCAUACAUAUGUAGAGACUUACAGAAAUCUUAGGUCACUUCUGCUUCAGGCAGAAUAAACUGCAUAUAAGCUGGCUACCUGGAGCAGUUGGUAUGAAACUCUGGGGAGACGCUGACACUAUGUCGGUUUGACCCAGGUUCACCCAGCGUCAAAGUCUGGGGUUGACACUGUCUUGGCUGUAGUGGUUUUAUAAUAUUUUAUUUUUUGGUUGUCAAUCUAAUAAAUUUAUAAAAUUUUUUUAUAAA